rnacentral:rRNA from 1 species
AUUGAACGCUGGCGGCAGGCCUAACACAUGCAAGUCGAGCGGAUGAAGGGAGCUUGCUCCUGGAUUCAGCGGCGGACGGGUGAGUAAUGCCUAGGAAUCUGCCUGAUAGUGGGGGAUAGCGUCCGGAAACGGGCGCUAAUACCGCAUACGUCCUGAUGGUGAAAGUGGGGGAUCUUCGGACCUCACGCUAUCUGAUGAGCCUAGGUCGGAUUAGCUAGUUGGUUGGGUAAAGGCCUACCAAGGCGACGAUCCGUAACUGGUCUGAGAGGAUGAUCAGUCACACUGGAACUGAGACACGGUCCAGACUCCUACGGGAGGCAGCAGUGGGGAAUAUUGGACAAUGGGCGAAAGCCUGACCCAGCAAUGCCGCGUGUGUGAAGAAGGUCUUCGGAUUGUAAAGCACUUUAAGUUGGGAGGAACGGCAGUAAGUUAAUACCUUGCUGUUUUGACGUUACCAACAGAAUAAGCACCGGCUAACUUCGUG